GACGAACGCUGGCGGCGUGCUUAACACAUGCAAGUCGAACGGAAAGGCCCUGCUUUGGUGGGGUGCUCGAGUGGCGAACGGGUGAGUAACACGUGAGUAACCUGCCCUUGACUUUGGGAUAACUUCAGGAAACUGGGGCUAAUACCGGAUAGGAGCUCCUGCUGCAUGGUGGGGGUUGGAAAGUUUCGGCGGUUGGGGAUGGACUCGCGGCUUAUCAGCUUGGUGGUGGGGUCGUGGCUGACCAAGGCUUUGAGGGGUAGCGUGCCUGAGAGGGUAACCGGCCACUUUGGGAUUGAGAUACGGCCCAGACUCCUACGGGAGGCAGCAGUGGGGAAUAUUGCACAAUGGGCGGAAGCCUGAUGCAGCAACGCCGCGUGCGGGAUGACGGCCUUCGGGUUGUAAACCGCUUUCGCCUGUGACGAAGCGUGAGUGACGGUAAUGGGUAAAGAAGCACCGGCUAACUACGUG
rnacentral:rRNA from 1 species